rnacentral:lncRNA from 1 species
UUUUGCUAUAAUUUUUAGAUAUUGUGACUAACGAUCCGCCAAUAAUUAAGAUGUCAUAUAAUUUUUAUAUCAAUAAUACAUUAAAAUUUGUAGGAUAAAAUGCAUGUUUAACCCUCAAACCACGAAGAACAUGACAUUUUAGUUCGUAAAUUUUAAUUCAUUACCUCUCUAUUCAUGCAUUGUAGGAUAAAUUACACGUUUAGUCCUCAAACUAUGGGAAACUUGACACUUUAGUCACUAAUUUUUAAUUUGUUAUAAAAUUUGAACUUAAACUUUUAAAAUUAUUAUAAAUGAGUCUUACAGUUCAAUUUAAUUGACUAUAUUUUAAUAUAUUGUUGAUAUAAAAGUCAUAUGGCAUCCUAAUAUAUUGGCGCAUCAUAAAUCAAAAUAUUACUAUAUAAUUUUUAUAUUAACAAUAUAUUAAUAUUUAAUUAAAUAUUAAUCAUAAUAAUUUUUAAAAUUUUAACAAAAAAAUAUAACAAAAUAAAAUUU